rnacentral:pre_miRNA from 1 species
GAAGUACUCCCUCCGUCUCAAAAUUCUUGUCUUAGAUUUGUCUAAAUACGGAUGUAUCAAGUCACGUUUUAGUAUUAGAUACAUCCGUAUCUAGAUAAAUCUAAGACAAGAAUUUUGGGACGGAGGGAGUAUGCA